CCGCUUGUAGCUCAGUUGGUAGAGCAGCUGGCUCUUAACCAGACGGUCGAAGGUUCAAGUCCUUCCAGGCGGA
rnacentral:tRNA from 1 species